UUGUAAGCUCAGUCUGGAUUGUAUUCCCUUUCAAGAUAUUAUGGGUGAUGCAAGCUUGAGUAUCUGAUGCA